GCUGGGCAUGAUGAUACAUGCCUAUAAUCCCAGCAACUCGGGAGGCUGAGGCAGGAGGAUCACAGAUUCAAGGCCAGCCUCAGCCUCUU
rnacentral:sRNA from 1 species